rnacentral:rRNA from 1 species
UAUAAAGUUUAUAAAAUUUAGAAAAAAUAAUUUUUUGUUUAAUUAUUAUUUAGAAAAAAUUUAUUAUUAUUAUAGUUUAUAAGUAUUGUGAAAGAAGUUUUUAAAAUAUUUUAAAGAAAUUUUUUAUAUUGUACCUUGUGUAUCAGGGCUUAUUAAUUAUAAUUUUAGAAUUUAAUUUUCUCGAAUUAAAAGGAGUUAAAUAUAAUAGUUUGUAAAUGUAGAAUAAUUUUAUAUAAAUUAUAUUUAGUAAUGAGACGUUAAUCGUUUUUUAUGAUAUCUAGUUUUUUAAGAAAAAAAUUUAAUUUUAUAAUAAAUUAUUAAUUUAUUAAUUUAUUAAUAUUUUAUUAAUUAUUGUAAAUAUUUUUAGGGAUGAGCUUAAAAAUAAAUUUUUAAAAAUUUAUGUGUUUAAAUAAUAUAUAGGAUUAAAAAUUUUCAUUAUUAAUAUUUUGUUAUAAUUAGUUAUUACUUUAUAUUAUUUUUAUAAACUUUUAAAUAAUUUAUUAAAAUAUUUUUUAAAAUUUUUAAAAUUAAGAAAUUAUAAUGAGAUUAGUAUAAUUUUAUGGAUAUAUAAAAAAAAUUGUCAGGUUAAUUAAAGUAAUUCGGCAAAAAAAUUUUUCACCUGUUUAUUAAAAACAUGUCUUUUUGUUUAUAAUUUAAAGUCUGACCUGCCCACUGAAAAUUUAACGGCCGCAGUAUUUUGACUGUGCAAAGGUAGCAUAAUCAAUAGUUUUUUAAUUGAAAGCUGGUAUGAAAGGUUGAAUGAAAAAAUUACUGUCUCUAUAUAAUUUAAUUAGAAUUUUAUUUUUAAGUAAAAAAGCUUAAAUAUUAUUUAAAGACGAGAAGACCCUAUAGAGUUUAAAAUUUAUUAUUAUUUUAUAUUUUUAGAAUUUAUUAUAAGAAUAAUAAUAAAUUUUUGAUUGGGGUGAUUAAAAAAUUUAAUAAACUUUUUUUAAUUUUAUACAUUUAUAUAUGAGAAAAUGAUCCAAAAUAUUUGAUUAAAAGAUAAAUUACCUUAGGGAUAACAGCGUUAUUUUUUUUGAGAGUUCUUAUCGAAAAAAAAGGUUGCGACCUCGAUGUUGGAUUAAAAUAAAAUUUUGGUGUAGAAGCUAAAAUAAUUAGGUCUGUUCGACCUUUAAAAUUUUACAUGAUCUGAGUUUAAACCGGUGUAAGCCAGGUUGGUUUCUAUCUUAAAUAAAAUAAAAUAUUUUAGUACGAAAGGACCAAAUAUUAAGUAUAAUAUUUAAAAAUGAAUAAUAUU